ensembl:lncRNA
UUAUGUGUGCGUUUUUCUCUGAGAGGUAGGUCUCCACUUUAGUUUCUGUUGAUGAGGCACUCACGGAUACUUCUGGAUAAGGGUCAUUUGGAAGCAAGUGGUUGGCUGACUUUGCGAAAACAGCUAGAAACAGAUAAAAGGAAAACACAAUUUAAAACAAUAAAACAAGAGACAUCACAAAGCGCAGCUCUUCAGUUAGCAAACUGGCAAGUAAUGAAGUUCUAAAAAAUAAUUGGGAAAACAAAUCUAACUUUAGAACUAAAUGACCCAAAACUAAAUUAAAAAUGAAGUAAAAAAAAAAGAAAUUGGCUUAAUACUGGUGUCUUCUGAUGAGGUAAGUUGCUAUGUAAGGUAAAAACCACACGUGGCUGUAAUUUGGUGGCCUGUAUACAGUUCCAAUCCAAGCAUGUAGUUGGUUUAAAUGGGUUUAAUACUGGUGUCUUUUGAUCACUUGACUGUAUAUAAACCUGUUGUACAAAAGGUGCAUUUUAAUUUCACUAUACCUGCCCAUCCUUGUAGCCGGUCUCUACUAGCGUGGCACAGUUUCAAGAUCAGUGUAGGGCUUCUCCACUGCCUUCACUGGACAGAACACAUCUGAG